rnacentral:rRNA from 1 species
CAGUAGCCGCGGUAAUACGUAGGUCCCGAGCGUUGUCCGGAUUAUUGGGCGUAAAGCGAGCGCAGGCGGUUAGAUAAGUCUGAAGUUAAAGGCUGUGGCUUAACCAUAGUACGCUUUGGAAACUGUUUAACUUGAGUGCAAGAGGGGAGAGUGGAAUUCCAUGUGUAGCGGUGAAAUGCGUAGAUAUAUGGAGGAACACCGGUGGCGAAAGCGGCUCUCUGGCUUGUAACUGACGCUGAGGCUCGAAAGCGUGGGGAGCAAACAGGAUUAGAUACCCCUGUAGUCCCUGUCUCUUAUACAC